GAUAUUGUUUAUUUUUCAGCUGUUUUAAAUACCAAGGUGAUACAACAAACCGUGUCGUACCGUAGUGAACCGUGCUUUCCUUAUUUUAAUAUUGUGCCACUUAUAAAUUAUGAAAUUAUAACCAUAGAUCGAUCGAUAAUACACGCGCAUUUCGCAUUACCACCGACUCAAGCAGCCCUCCCGUAGCCGUAACCCGAAAAUAGUUUCCGGGCGGCAGGAGGAUCGUAUACCGAACAUUUGUGGUGUUCUAAUUUUAUUGUCUAAAAUAAUUAUUUUUCCGCAACAUAUAAUGUAUUACUAAAUAUUUUUCAGGAGGGGGGGGGGGGUUGGGGUUAGAACCUUGAAACACUCCCUCUCCUCAGAUACACCCUUGAGACAACCGGACCAGGGAGAUAUAUCUUUCUGACUCGUUUAAAAUUUCCACUCAAACAAUUAUUUCAAUCAACUUGACAUCUAUUUAAGACAUUUUUAAUGUAGGUUGUCAUUUAAAAAUCCAAUCCGGGUAAUGGUUUCACCCCCCUAAAAAAUAAGAUUAACAAAACGUAUCGGUAUUGUAACAUUUUACGGUAUCAGGCAAAUCCAAAAUUUGGAAUCAACGAAUAAUAUCUUAAAGUUGCGCCGUGAAAAUUGGUGAUUGAAAUUUCAUCAAAAAGCAACUUAUAUAGCAAUAUGUAAUGGAAUACAAAUUCAAUAUCAUAGUAAAAAUCAGAAAAUAAAUCAGACUUUCAAUAAAUAUUUCAAUGAUUAUUUUGUACAACUUUGGGAAAAGAUAGGAAUAAAGAAAAAUAUAUUUCAAAUAUAAAAGUUGAACUGUUGUAUCAAGUGGUUGAUAGGUAUUUAUUACAUAACUAAUUACUAAUUUCAUUUAAUUAAUUCAUAAAAGUAUGUGUUAUUUUUUAGGAUUGUAGCACGGUUAGACGGACGUUUUUCAAAAAGUGAACAAAUUUUUGACAUAUUUAAUGUAUUUGGUUAUACAAAUGGUUACUUUUUUCAGGCAGAAUGUACUGCUAUUAAUGAAUUCUUAGACCAAUAUAAAAGUUCUCCAAUUAAUUCUUUAAGAGUACAUUAUACCCGCAUCUAUUGUCUCAGUUCAACUGCUGGGUAAUAUGCAAAAACAAUGUUUACGCAGAAUAAGUAAAACCGGCUAAAUUUUGAUUUUGAGGGAAAAGAGCCUAUUAUGAAAUUCAUAGAGAAC